rnacentral:rRNA from 1 species
GACGAACGCUGGCGGCGUGCUUAACACAUGCAAGUCGAACGGAAAGGCCCUGCUUUUGUGGGGUGCUCGAGUGGCGAACGGGUGAGUAACACGUGAGUAACCUGCCCUUGACUUUGGGAUAACUUCAGGAAACUGGGGCUAAUACCGGAUAGGAGCUCCUGCUGCAUGGGGGGGGUUGGAGAGUUUGGGCGGUGGUGGAUGGACUCGCGGCUUAUCAGCUUGUUGGUGGGGUAGUGGCUUACCAAGGCUUUGACGGGUAGCCGGCCUGAGAGGGUGACCGGCACCAUUGGGUCUGAGGUACGGCCCAGACUCCUACGGGAGGCAGCAGUGGAGAAUAGUGCACAAUGAGCGGAGUCCUGAUGCAGCAACGCCGCGUGCGGGAUGACGGCCUUCGGGUUGUAAACCGCUUUCGCCUGUGACGAAGCGUGAGUGACGGUAAUGGAUAAAGAAGCACCGGCUAACUACGUG